GGAAGUGUAGUUCAAUGCCGGUGACGAUUCAGCCGUGGAUGUUACUCUUAGGCGUGCCACCUGUGACUCAUGCUCAGAGGGUAGAAUGGGGGCCACAGCCACACCCUCUCCCCUUCCUUCCAAGGGCUGCAGCAAAGUAUCCUGGCACACUAAGGAACUUUUAAAAGUCAUUGAUAAGGCUCAUUAAUGUAUCAAAAUGUCACCUACUCAAUGUGAACCAUUAAAAAUUAUUAGUACAAGUAU
rnacentral:lncRNA from 1 species